ACACCCAUCACCUUCCCACCAUCUCCCCAUCACCCCACCACACACCAACACCCCACCACCUCCCCAUCAUCCCACCAAACACCAACACCCCCACCACACCUGGGUGAGGCCACUAUGGGCCGGGGACGUCAGUUGGAGAGAAGCAGUCACACAGUGAGGAGGGUUGCAUCUUUUUCCACAAUUUUAGGACAUUAUUCCCUAACUAUGCCUGUUCUGAGUGGCUGUUGUUGUUUCGACCUCAAGGUCGGCACAACUAUCAUUGGGGUCCUCAACUUGCGGUCAAACACGGCGGCAUUAAUACGAGUGUAGCAAGUCAUCGCUUGGCCUCCAUGAUCGAGAAGGUUAGUUUAGGACAUUAUGCACACACUCCGACCGAUGGUCUGUCAUAGGGCCAACGGCUACCACAUUCUCAGUUAAGUUAGUAGACACUGCCUUUCAUAGCCGCUCACGUCAG